rnacentral:misc_RNA from 1 species
GAUGAAGAACGCAGCGAAAUGCGAUAAGUAAUGUGAAUUGCAUAAUUCAGUGAAUCAUCGAAUCUUUGAACGCACAUUGCGCCCGUCAGUAUUCUGGCGGGCAUGCCUGUUCGAGCGUCAUUACGCCCCUCAAGUCCCCUGUGGACUUGGUGUUGGGGAUCGGCGAGGCUGGUUUUCCAGCACAGCCGUCCCUUAAAUUAAUUGGCGGUCUCGCCGUGGCCCUCCUCUGCGCAGUAGUAAAACACUCGCAACAGGAGCCCGGCGCGGUCCACUGCCGUAAAACCCCCCAACUUUUUAUAGUUGACCUCGAAUCAGGUAGGACUACCCGCUGAACUUAAGCAUAUCAAUAAGCGGAGGA